rnacentral:rRNA from 1 species
UAGGGAAUCUUCCGCAAUGGGCGAAAGCCUGACGGAGCAACGCCGCGUGAGUGAUGAAGGUCUUCGGAUCGUAAAACUCUGUUAUUAGGGAAGAACAAAUGUGUAAGUAACUAUGCUCGUCUUGACGGUACCUAAUCAGAAAGCCACGGCUAACUACGUGCCAGCAGCCGCGGUAAUACGUAGGUGGCAAGCGUUAUCCGGUAUUAUUGGGCGUAAAGCGCGCGUAGGCGGUUUUUUAAGUCUGAUGUGAAAGCCCACGGCUCAACCGUGGAGGGUCAUUGGAAACUGGAAAACUUGAGUGCAGAAGAAGAAAGUGGAAUUCCAUGUGUAGCGGUGAAAUGGGCAGAGAUAAGGAGGAACACCAGUGGCGAAGGCGACUUUCUGGUCUGUAACUGACGCUGAUGUGCGAAAGCGUGGGGAUCAAACAGG